CUGACUGCUAUCGUAUUGGUACUAUCCCAUGCGAGUAAUUGUAGCACUUCCAGGCGGACGGCUCAGUAACACAUAGUCAACCUAACUCGUGGACGUGGAUAAUCUCCGGAAGACUGAGAAUAAACCACGAUAGAUUAUACUGCCUGGAAUGUCUUAUGGUCCAAACAGUUUACUGCCUUGGGAUGGGACUGCCGCCUAUCAGCUUGUUGGUGAGGUAAAGGCCCACCCCCGCCAUUAGAAGUACGGGUUCUGAGAGGAUUACCCCGGAGAUGGGUACUGACACACGGACCCAGGCCCUAUGGGGCGCAGUAGGCGAAAAACUUUACCAAUGGGCGAAAGCGCGAUUGGGUCAGUCCAAUUGAUUCCUGAUAAAGGAGUCUUUUGCUUGUCCUAAAAGCACAAGAGAAUAAGGGGUGCGCAAUUCUGGUGUCAGCCGCCGCGAAAAUACCAGCACCUCGUGUGGUCAUGACUUUUAUUGAGACUAAAGCAUCCUUACCCGGCUCUGUAAUUCUUCGGUUCAAUCCCCCUGCUCAACGAGAUGGGCCGGUGGACAUACUACACACCUCGGGAAUGGGAUAAGCACAUGGAUAUUCUGUGGGUAGGGGUGAAAUCCUCUGAUCCAUUGAGGACCACCAGUGGCGAAGGCGGUCUGCCA
rnacentral:rRNA from 1 species